rnacentral:rRNA from 1 species
CCUACGGGAGGCAGCAGUGAGGAAUAUUGGUCAAUGGGCGCGAGCCUGAACCAGCCAAGCCGCGUGAGGGAAGACGGUCCUAUGGAUCGUAAACCUCUUUUGUCGGGGAGCAAAAGCCGCCACGCGUGCCGGUCCGAGAGUACCCGAAAAAAAAGCAUCGGCUAACUCCGUGCCAGCAGCCGCGGUAAUACGGAGGAUGCGAGCGUUAUCCGGAUUUAUUGGGUUUACAGGGUGCGCAGGCGGAAGAUCAAGUCAGCGGUAAAAUUGAGAGGCUCAACCCCUUCGAGCCGUUGAAACUGGUUGUCUUGAGUGAGCGAGAAGUAUGCGGAAGGCGCGGUGUAGCGGUGAAAUGCAUAGAUAUCACGCAGAACUCCGAUUGCGAAGGCAGCAUGCCGGCGCUCAACUGACGCUCAUGCACGAAAGUGUGGGUAUCGAACAGGAUUAGAUACCCUUGUAGUC